rnacentral:rRNA from 1 species
UACAGAGGGUGCGAGCGUUAAUCGGAGUUACUGGGCGUAAAGGGCGCGUAGGCGGUUUAGUAAGUGAGAUGUGAAAUCCCUGGGCUUAACCUAGGAACUGCAUCUUAUACUGUUAGACUAGAGUACUGUAGAGGGUAGUGGAAUUUCCGGUGUAGCGAUGAAAUGCGUAGAGAUCGGAAGGAACACCGGUGGCGAAGGCGGCUACCUGGACAGAUACUGACGCUGAGGCGCGAAAGCGUGGGGAGCAAACAGG